UCUCCCUGAGACUUUAAGUCUCCUGAAGGAACGUUGAAGACGACGACGUUGAUAGGCCGGGUGUGUAAGCGCAGCGAUGCGUUGAGCUAACCGGUACUAAUGAACCGUGAGGCUUAACCUU
rnacentral:rRNA from 2 species